rnacentral:rRNA from 1 species
CGUUCUAUGUUGCCAGCACGUGAUGGUGGGGACUCAUAGGAGACUGCCGGGGUCAACUCGGAGGAAGUGGGGAUGACGUCAAAUCAUCAUGCCCCUUAUGUCUUGGGCUUCACGCAUGCUACGAAUGGCCGGGUACAAAGGGUUGCGAAGCCGUGAGGUGGAGCCGAAAUCCCAAAAAACCGGUCUCAGUUCGGAUUGGGGUCUGCAACUCGACCCCAUGAAGUCGGAGUCGCUAGUAAUCGCAGAUCAGCAACGCUCGCGGUCGAAUACGUUCCCGGGCCCUU